CUGAACCAGCCAAGUAGCGUGAAGGAUGACUGCCCUAUGGGUUGUAAACUUCUUUUAUAAAGGAAUAAAGUCGGGUAUGCAUACCCGUUUGCAUGUACUUUAUGAAUAAGGAUCGGCUAACUCCGUGCCAGCAGCCGCGGUAAUACGGAGGAUCCGAGCGUUAUCCGGAUUUAUUGGGUUUAAAGGGAGCGUAGGUGGAUUGUUAAGUCAGUUGUGAAAGUUUGCGG
rnacentral:rRNA from 1 species